AUUGAACGCUGGCGGCAUGCUUUACACAUGCAAGUCGAACGGUAACAGGGUGCUUGCACCGCUGACGAGUGGCGAACGGGUGAGUAAUGCGUCGGAACGUGCCGAGUAGUGGGGGAUAACGCAGCGAAAGUUGUGCUAAUACCGCAUACGUACUGAGGUAGAAAGUGGGGACCUUCGGGCCUCACGCUAUUCGAGCGGCCGACGUCUGAUUAGCCAGUAGGUGAGGUAAAGGCUCACCUAGGCGACGAUCAGUAGCGGGUCUGAGAGGAUGAUCCGCCACACUGGGACGGAGACACGGCCCAGACUCCUACGGGAGGCAGCAGUGGGGAAUUUUGGACAAUGGGCGAAAGCCUGAUCCAGCCAUGCCGCGUGUCUGAAGAAGGCCUUCGGGUUGUAAAGGACUUUUGUCAGGGAGGAAAUCCCUAGUGCUAAUAACACUGGGGGAUGACAGUACCUGAAGAAUAAGCACCGGCUAACUACGUGCCAGCCGCCGCGGUAA
rnacentral:rRNA from 1 species